GGAGGAUAUGCUGGAGCCCAACGAAGGGAUCACCCGGGCAGCAGUGAUUAAAUUUGGCAGCCCUGACAUUGCUCUGGCUUUGGAUGUAAAAAAGUACUACUGCCAACUGGCUGAGACACUCCAGUAUGAGUGCGGUGCAGCCUCCUCUGCUGUGGUCCACAGUGGUGACGGAAAGGAAGUGGAAGUGGGAGGAACUGGAGGGUCAACGGUCAAAGACUUGACAAAGAUAAAGGACGCCGGUGAGAUAAAGAUGCUGAUUUCAGAGCUACAAAAGGAGCUUGCUGAGCUCGAGAAGCAUAACGAGGAAUUGGAGGACGAGGUUGAAAUGAAGAAGGCUGCAUACAUGGAUGAGAUUGCUGAUCUAGAGGCGACUAUAGAUGAAAUGAAGUGUCAGAAGGCCAAUUUCCAAGAACAGAUGAAGGAGCAGUGUGAAGACUAUAAGUUUCUGCUCACUCAGAAGAUGGCCAGAGACAUGGAGAUUGCUGCUUACAGGCUCAAAACCAAUUUCUCUUCCAG
ensembl:lncRNA